rnacentral:rRNA from 1 species
AGCUACUAAGAGCGAAUGGUGGAUGCCUUGACUGGUAAAGGCGAUGAAGGACGUACUAGACUGCGAUAAGCUACGGGGAGCUGUCAAGAAGCUUUGAUCCGUAGAUUUCCGAAUGGGGCAACCCAAUGUAUAGAGAUAUACAUUACCUAUAUAGGAGCGAACGAGGGGAAUUGAAACAUCUUAGUACCCUCAGGAAAAGAAAUCAAUAGAGAUUGCGUCAGUAGCGGCGAGCGAAAGCGCAAGAGGGCAAACCCAGUGCUUGCACUGGGGGUUGUAGGACUGCAAUGUGCAAGAGGUGAGUUUAGCAGAACAUUCUGGAAAGUAUAGCCAUAGAGGGUGAUAGUCCCGUAUGCGAAAAACAAACCUUAGCUAGCAGUAUCCUGAGUAGGGCGGGACACGAGAAAUCCUGUCUGAAGCUGGGUCGACCACGAUCCAACCCUAAAUACUAAUACCAGAUCGAUAGUGCACAAGUACCGUGAGGGAAAGGUGAAAAGAACUGAGGUGAUCAGAGUGAAAUAGAACCUGAAACCAUUUGCUUACAAUCAUUCAGAGCCCUAUGUAGCAAUACAGGGUGAUGGACUGCCUUUUGCAUAAUGAGCCUGCGAGUUGUGGUGUCUGGCAAGGUUAAGCAAACGCGAAGCCGUAGCGAAAGCGAGUCUGAAUAGGGCGCUUAGUCAGAUGCUGCAGACCCGAAACGAAGUGAUCUAUCCAUGAGCAAGUUGAAGCUAGUGUAAGAACUAGUGGAGGACUGAACCCAUAGGCGUUGAAAAGCCCCGGGAUGACUUGUGGAUAGGGGUGAAAGGCCAAUCAAACUUCGUGAUAGCUGGUUCUCUCCGAAAUAUAUUUAGGUAUAGCGUUGUGUCGUAAUAUAAGGGGGUAGAGCACUGAAUGGGCUAGGGCAUACACCAAUGUACCAAACCCUAUCAAACUCCGAAUACCUUAUAUGUAAUCACAGCAGUCAGGCGGCGAGUGAUAAAAUCCGUCGUCAAGAGGGAAACAACCCAGACUACCAGCUAAGGUCCCUAAAUCUUACUUAAGUGGAAAACGAUGUGAAGUUACUUAAACAACCAGGAGGUUGGCUUAGAAGCAGCCAUCCUUUAAAGAAAGCGUAAUAGCUCACUGGUCUAGUGAUUUUGCGCGGAAAAUAUAACGGGGCUAAAGUAAGUACCGAAGCUGUAGACUUGCGCACAACUUAGAUUAUUUAAGUUUAGAAUAUGAGAAACUAAGUUAUAUGUUUAGUUAUAUUUUUACUGAUUUUUAUAGAGUAAAGAUAGAAAUAAAACUUAGUAAAAUCAGUAAAAAUAUUCUUAGACUAAAGUUAAGUAGUUUAAGUUGUGUGCAAGUGGUAGGAGAGCGUUCUAUUUGCGUCGAAGGUAUACCGGUAAGGAGUGCUGGAGCGAAUAGAAGUGAGCAUGCAGGCAUGAGUAGCGAUAAUUAAUGUGAGAAUCAUUAACGCCGUAAACCCAAGGUUUCCUACGCGAUGCUCGUCAUCGUAGGGUUAGUCGGGUCCUAAGUCGAGUCCGAAAGGGGUAGACGAUGGCAAAUUGGUUAAUAUUCCAAUACCAACAUUAGUGUGCGAUGGAAGGACGCUUAGGGCUAAGGGGGCUAGCGGAUGGAAGUGCUAGUCUAAGGUCGUAGGAGGUUAUACAGGCAAAUCCGUAUAACAAUACUCCGAGAACUGAAAGGCUUUUUGAAGUCUUCGGAUGGAUAGAAGAACCCCUGAUGCCGUCGAGCCAAGAAAAGUUUCUAAGUUUAGCUAAUGUUGCCCGUACCGUAAACCGACACAGGUGGGUGGGAUGAGUAUUCUAAGGCGCGUGGAAGAACUCUCUUUAAGGAACUCUGCAAAAUAGCACCGUA